rnacentral:rRNA from 1 species
GGUAACAGGUCUUCGGAUGCUGACGAGUGGCGAACGGGUGAGUAAUACAUCGGAACGUGCCCGAUCGUGGGGGAUAACGGAGCGAAAGCUUUGCUAAUACCGCAUACGAUCUACGGAUGAAAGCAGGGGACCGCAAGGCCUUGCGCGGACGGAGCGGCCGAUGGCAGAUUAGGUAGUUGGUGGGAUAAAAGCUUACCAAGCCGACGAUCUGUAGCUGGUCUGAGAGGACGACCAGCCACACUGGGACUGAGACACGGCCCAGACUCCUACGGGAGGCAGCAGUGGGGAAUUUUGGACAAUGGGCGAAAGCCUGAUCCAGCCAUGCCGCGUGCAGGAUGAAGGCCUUCGGGUUGUAAACUGCUUUUGUACGGAACGAAAAGACUCCUUCUAAUAAAGGGGGUCCAUGACGGUACCGUAAGAAUAAGCACCGGCUAACUACGUGCCAGCAGCCGCGGUAAUACGUAGGGUGCAAGCGUUAAUCGGAAUUACUGGGCGUAAAGCGUGCGCAGGCGGUUAUAUAAGACAGAUGUGAAAUCCCCGGGCUCAACCUGGGAACUGCAUUUGUGACUGUAUAGCUAGAGUACGGCAGAGGGGGAUGGAAUUCCGCGUGUAGCAGUGAAAUGCGUAGAUAUGCGGAGGAACACCGAUGGCGAAGGCAAUCCCCUGGGCCUGUACUGACGCUCAUGCACGA